CGUAGUCGAUGGGAAACAGGUUAAUAUUCCUGUACUUGUUUGUAGUGCGAUGGGGAGACGGAGAAGGCUAGGCCAGCACGGCGUUGGUUGUCCGUGUUUAAGCUAGUAGGCAGAGAUCUUAGGCAAAUCCGGGAUCUUAAUGCCGAGAGGUGAUGACGGUGACUCUACGGAGUCCGAAGUGGUCGAUGCCAUGCUUCCAGGAAAAUCCUCUAAGCUUCAGCUACAAAGAAACCGUACUCUAAACCGACACAGGUGGGUAGGUAGAGAAUACCAAGGCGCUUGAGAGAACUCGGGUGAAGGAACUAGGCAAAAUGGCACCGUAACUUCGGGAGAAGGUGCGCCGGUUUUGGUGGUUCAAUCGAACAUAAGCUGAGACCGGUCGAAGAUACCAGGUGGCUGCGACUGUUUAUUAAAAACACAGCACUCUGCAAACACGAAAGUGGACGUAUAGGGUGUGACGCCUGCCCGGUGCCGGAAGGUUAAUUGAUGGGGUUAGCAUUAGCGAAGCUCUUGAUCGAAGCCCCGGUAAACGGCGGCCGUAACUAUAACGGUCCUAAGGUAGCGAAAUUCCUUGUCGGGUAAGUUCCGACCUGCACGAAUGGCGUAACGACGGCCACACUGUCUCCACCCGAGACUCAGUGAAAUUGAAUUCGCAGUUAAGAUGCUGCGUUCCCGCGGCUAGACGGAAAGACCCCGUGAACCUUUACUAUAGCUUCACAGUGAACUUUGAAUUGGCUUGUGUAGGAUAGCUGGGAGGCUUUGAAGCGGUGACGCCAGUUACCGUGGAGCCAACCUUGAAAUACCAGCCUGGUCAAUUUGGGGUUCUAACUCAGGUCCAUUAUCUGGAUCGAGGACACUGUGUGGUGGGUAGUUUGACUGGGGCGGUCUCCUCCCAAAGAGUAACGGAGGAGCACGAAGGUCGGCUAAUCCUGGUCGGACAUCAGGAGGUUAGUGCAAUGGCAUAAGCCGGCUUAACUGCGAGACAGACACGUCGAGCAGGUACGAAAGUAGGUCAUAGUGAUCCGGUGGUUCUGUAUGGAAGGGCCAUCGCUCAACGGAUAAAAGGUACUCCGGGGAUAACAGGCUGAUACCGCCCAAGAGUUCACAUCGACGGCGGUGUUUGGCACCUCGAUGUCGGCUCAUCACAUCCUGGGGCUGAAGCCGGUCCCAAGGGUAUGGCUGUUCGCCAUUUAAAGUGGUACGCGAGCUGGGUUUAGAACGUCGUGAGACAGUUCGGUCCCUAUCUGCCGUGGGCGUUUGAGAUUUGAGAAGAGCUGCUCCUAGUACGAGAGGACCGGAGUGGACGAACCUCUGGUGUUCCGGUUGUCACGCCCGUGGCAUUGCCGGGUAGCUACGUUCGGACGGGAUAAACGCUGAAAGCAUCUAAGCGUGAAGCCUCCUUCAAGAUGAGAUCUCACUGGAACUUCGAGUUCCCUGUAGGGCCCUGGAAGACUACCAGGUUGAUAGGUCAGGUGUGUAAGCGUUGUGAGGCGUUGAGCUAACUGAUACUAAUUGCCCGUGAGGCUUGACCAUAUAACACCCAA
rnacentral:rRNA from 1 species